rnacentral:lncRNA from 1 species
AUCUUUUCCGGCGCUGGCUCCUCUCCGUCAGUGCGGUUUCGCCUUUAUGGUGGUGGAGUCUGCCCAGGCUGUGGGACUAUCAGUCCUCCCUGUGCGUCCAGUUCGGAGAGGCUGCGCGCUCUCUCGGCUCACUGCAACCUCUGCAACCUCUGCCUCCAGGGUCAAGCAGUUCUCCUGCCUCAGCCUUCCGAGUACCUGGGAUUACAGGACCGCAAAUAACCCUGUACAAAGAGGAAUGGAGAUUGCCUCUAUCCACCUAGAUUCAUAAGCUGGCCUGAGGUGAUCUUGGCAUCAAGGAAGGGAUGCACAUCAUCACACCAUCAGCUUCAGAGAAUGGCAGCCAUUUAUUUGUCCCGUGGGUUUUUUUCCAGGGAACCAAUCUGCCCUUUUGAAGAAAAGACAAAGGUAGAAAGGAUGGUGGAGGACUACCUGGCAAGUGGUUAUCAGUGAAUAUUGGUGGAAGUGUUCAUUGGCUCAAACCAGCAUGUGUAUGAUGACAUAGGAUUCAGUGACGUUUGAUGAUGUGGCUGUGGACUUCACCCCAGAGGAGUGGGC